CUCAUUGGGAAGAAAUGUCCAUCCCCCUGGCUGCAAGGGAAAAGGCAGAGAGGGACACUGCAAAAGCAGCAGGUCUCUGGAGUACAAAAGUUGAAACUUGUGGCCUGGAAUCCAGUAAUUUUUAGCAGAAGCACCUUUGGUGUCUUACUAGAAGGAAGAGACAGAGAGCCUUACCUAGAGUGGAUCUGUUCCUGCUGACGAGCCAGCAGUGGUAGCCAAACAGAAACAUGAGGCUCACAAAGAACAUGAUUGCCACAAAGAGAAG